rnacentral:rRNA from 1 species
UACGGAGGGGGCUAGCGUUGUUCGGAAUUACUGGGCGUAAAGCGCACGUAGGCGGCUUUGUAAGUUAGAGGUGAAAGCCCGGGGCUCAACUCCGGAAUUGCCUUUAAGACUGCAUCGCUAGAAUUGUGGAGAGGUAAGUGGAAUUCCGAGUGUAGAGGUGAAAUUCGUAGAUAUUCGGAAGAACACCAGUGGCGAAGGCGACUUACUGGACACAUAUUGACGCUGAGGUGCGAAAAGCGUGGGGAGCAAACAGGGU